rnacentral:lncRNA from 1 species
AGUUUUGUAAGCAAUGAUGGAGAAGCCAAAUAUUUUUUUAGGUCUUCAAAAGACUGUUGGCAUUCAUCUGACCAUGAGAAGUCCUUCAUCUGUCGCAAAGUCUUAAAAAAUAGCAAGCAUCUCUCGACUGAUCGAGAAAUGAAUCGAUUGAGAGCGACGAUCUUUCCGUUGAGUUGUUGUAUCUCUUUCUUUGAACUUG